UCCGUAGGGGUGGCCUGCGGAAGGAUCAUUA
rnacentral:rRNA from 1 species